rnacentral:rRNA from 1 species
ACGGGUGNGUAAUGUCUGGGAAACUGCCUGAUGAGGGGGAUAACUACUGGAAACGGUAGCUAAUACCGCAUAACGUCGCAAGACCAAANAGGGGGACCUUCGGGCCUCUUGCCAUCGGAUGUGCCCAGAUGGGAUUAGCUAGUAGGUGGGGUAACGGCUCACCUAGGCGACGAUCCCUAGCUGGUCUGAGAGGAUGACCAGCCACACUGGAACUGAGACACGGUCCAGACUCCUACGGGAGGCAGCAUG